rnacentral:lncRNA from 1 species
CGGGGUGGGGCGGGGCGGGCGCAGGCCGGAGAGUGGGGGGCGAGCAGUUCCAGCCCUGCUGGUCGCUGGUGUUCGCCUGCAGUCGCUCGCGCGCUCCAUCCCUGCGGGGAAGGACCCACCGACCCUGGCCAGUCGGAGAUCAGAUGCUCUCCCUUCGCCGGCAGCCGUGUGACCUUGGGCCCACCCCGGCCAGGUGCAGGUGGAUGGGCUGCGACCGGACCGGUGCGCAGGUCGAGGCCCAUCGUCUUUCUGAGCGUCCUGGGCCUCAAAGGCUGUGCUCCCUCCAUUCGUCCGCCGGGCACCCGGCAGGGCAGCCUCCACCACCACAAACCCACCCCCAGACCGGGUGCUGCGCCCUGCAGGACCUCACGUCCAACCCAGAGAUCUGGGGCGUGGCCUGGACCUUCCCUGACACCCUGCGGUCACCAGCAAGUCCCAGGUAGAGCUCCGCCCCUGGGGACCAACAGAGGGGCUCCACCGGGCCCGCGCUCCGGGACUGGCUUCGUGCUGUGCGGCCUUCGCCUCCGCCACACCCUCUCCUGGGCCUGUCAGUGUCGCCUCCGUGCACACUGGCACGGCUAACGUGAUCAAGCCAACCCCCUGCUCCAGCCCUGUCCCGGACUCGCCUUCCGCACCAGAAGGUCUUGGAGGAGCCCGCCCCUGAAGUGCUGAGAGGCCGCCUGCCCUCGUUGUGCUGCCCUGCACCCUGCUCCACUGCUGCACCAACGGAAUGCACUAAGGACGCCACCUGACAGCCUCCAGAGCAAGAACGUGAAGCAGCACCCUGUUGGCCAGCCCAGCACGCGAGUGCCGUCCCAAGGGCCUCCCUCCUGUCAUCUUCAGGAUGGCCCCAGGGUGCCUGACCCAAGCAUCCUCAGACAGCAGGAGGCCUGUGGACCAGGGGUCCUCACCCAGACGCUUUGAACCUUCACCAGGCUCUAGCCUGGAGGCCUGUUCAGCCUUUCCUGUCUUCCUCUAGACCAGCUCUGGGACCUGGCGCUGGCUGACUCCCUCAAGGAAACCCUCCCUAGUGGCCAGGCUUCCUUUGUGCCUGGAGUCCUCACAUUGCCAGCUCUGGUUUUCAGCAGUCCAGAGAGGCGCAAGGUGGCCAGGGUUGGAGUGUGGCCCCAAGAGCAGGGUACGCGAGCCGAACUCCCGCCUCUGGCCGUGCCCACCAUGGGCACUUCAGAGCACUGGGCUCCAAUCCCGGGGCCUGUGGGUCUGGCCCCUAGGCCUGGUGAGGGUGCCAGCCCUCCGCACUGCUCCCGUGGGCUGCCCUGGCCCCACACUGACAUAGGCGGACAGGUAUCACACUUGGCUAAAGGUCAUUCAAGAGCAAAGCAAUGCACAAAAUGUACA